UACGUAGGGUGCGAGCGUUAAUCGGAAUUACUGGGCGUAAAGCGUGCGCAGGCGGUUUUGUAAGCCAGAUGUGAAAUCCCCGGGCUUAACCUGGGAAUGGCAUUUGGGACUGCAAGGCUUGAGUGCGGCAGAGGAGACUAGAAUUCCUGGUGUAGCAGUGAAAUGCGUAGAUAUCAGGAGGAAUACCGAUGGCGAAGGCAGGUCUCUGGGACGGUACUGACGCUGAGGUGCGAAAGCGUGGGGAGCGAACAGG
rnacentral:rRNA from 1 species